rnacentral:rRNA from 1 species
CUGGCGGCGUGCCUAUCAUGCAAGUCGAGCGGACAGAAGGGAGCUUGCUCCCGGAUGUUAGCGGCGGACGGGUGAGUAACACGUGGGUAACCUGCCUGUAAGACUGGGAUAACUCCGGGAAACCGGAGCUAAUACCGGAUAGUUCCUUGAACCGCAUGGUUCAAGGAUGAAAGACGGUUUCGGCUGUCACUUACAGAUGGACCCGCGGCGCAUUAGCUAGUUGGUGGGGUAAUGGCUCACCAAGGCGACGAUGCGUAGCCGACCUGAGAGGGUGAUCGGCCACACUGGGACUGAGACACGGCCCAGACUCCUACGGGAGGCAGCAGUAGGGAAUCUUCCGCAAUGGACGAAAGUCUGACGGAGCAACGCCGCGUGGAGUGAUGAAGGUUUUCGGAUCGUAAAGCUCUGUUGUUAGGGAAGAACAAGUGCGAGAGUAACUGCUCGCACCUUGACGGUACCUAACCAGAAAGCCACGGCUAACUACGUGCCAGCAGCCGCGGUAAUACGUAGGUGGCAAGCGUUGUCCGGAAUUAUUGGGCGUAAAGGGCUCGCAGGCGGUUUCUUAAGUCUGAUGUGAAAGCCCCCGGCUCAACCCGGGAGGGUCAUUGGAAACUGGGGAAACUUGAGUGCAGAAAAAGAGAGUGGAAUUCCACCGUGUAGCGGUGAAAUGCCUAAAAAAUGUGGAAGAACCCCAGUGGCGAAGGCGACUCUCUGGUCUGUAACUGACGCUGAGGAGCGAAAGCGUGGGGAGCGAACAGGAUUAGAUACCCUGGUAGU